GUCCCCUCCUCCCCUCUCUCCCUCUCACCCACCCACCCACCAAUUCCUUCUCCCACCUCCUCCUUGCCCCACCCCGCCCAUCCCCCACUCCUCCUACCUCCCUGUCUCCAACUUCCCCCCACUCUUCCCUUCCCCCGCCUCCUCUCACCUCCCACCUCCUCCUUCCUCCGCCUCCUCCCACCCCAUCCCUUUCCCCUUCUCUCCCCUCCCCCGGCCCCCAGGGCUGCGGGCGGCUCCCUGUUUUCGGCGUCGCACACACGUCUGGGCAGAGUGUGGUUCCCAGGCUCUCGAUCUGGAAUUCAGACGGGAAAGUUUGCUGGCAGCUCCAGCGCCCGGGCCGCCGUCGGGCCCGGCCCGUCAGCGCCCGUCAGCGCGGCAUUCACAUAGGGGCGGGUGGCAGCGCCCUCCGCUUGUCUGCUCACUUUCACGACGAUUCUGCCCUUGAAGUUCAGCACGGAUUAACGAGCGGCAGUACUUUUUGUUUUAGAGAAGAGAAUGAGGGAGCCGAAUGGGACCGAGAGGGAGAGAGGCGAGGGGGAGGCGCGAGAGCCGGGGAGCAAGUUGGCGCCGGUGGGCUGGGGAUGGAGGGUCCUUUAGGGCGGAACUGCAUCGUCGGAUUCCGCGCAGAGGUAGGUGGGUGCAAAGACAAGGGGCCGGACAACGGAGUCCCAGGCAAAGAAGUGUGUGGUAUUUCUGCUGCCCGGAAUGAGGUCACACAGUCUUGUUUCCCACUUCUUCAGACUCAGUAGAUCCAGAUCGGAUCGCGUGAGUCUGUUUUAUUCCCAUUUGCACAUGAGGGCACUGAGGCAGGGACAGGCUAAGUGACUCGGCCACCGCCACACAGCUCUUAGUGGCCGACCCAGGACUCAAGCCUACAUCUCUCUGACUCCAAACCCCUAUUCUACGGUGACCUAGUAUUUGCUGGUUCAGACAAAUGGCUCAGCUUUAGCGCCGAUUGAAUCCAUGCCUUGUGUGGAGCACAGGCAGGUAGAUUUGCAGGCUAAGAGCUGAAGCCACCAGAUAUGAGGAUUGGUACAACCUGACACCCAAGCCUUGUUUUGGGGGUGGGUGGGUGCUGUGGUGGGCCUGUGGCUCCUUGGGCAGGGAGCCGGUGCCCAGGCUGGCUGUGGCAGUAGCGUGCGCCCCGGCAACGUGAGGGGCGUCGGUGGAUCUGGGCAGCUGCUCCACAGCAGAAUCGGGCUAUUGCCUCCAGGUGGACAGCUGCCCUAGUCUUUUUUCAUGACAGCCCAUGGGGGCCUGCGGGCAGGCUUUCCUUGUGUUGAGGAGGGACCCCUGGAGGGUGGUCAGAGAAUCUCCUGCUUCUUGCCAGGCACCCUGAAGAGGAGAAGAGAAUCAGGGGAGUCAAAGGAAUCUGACAACCCACCUCCCUUUGCAAGUAGUGUUGCCUCAGAGCUGCUUCCUUAUCUGGCCUUGGAGCCUUUGCUGCUCCUGGGCUCCCCUGUACCCUUGACUGCCCGGGCGUGUCUGCCACCGCCGUGCCCUGGGCCCCAGACCCUUCCCGGCCAUUGUGCCUCUGCUGGAUCCCAUUCCUAGGGAAUCCAGAGGCAAGUCCAGGUUACUCUGCUCCGUGAACAGUGGGCAAUGUAGGUGUUUGCCUUUUCACCAGGACCAUCGACAGACAGUACUUGGAUGCCAGGGCUGGCUCUGAGACAGGGAAGCUUCAGGCCUUUGCUGGAGCAAAACAGUGAGGGAGGUACUCGGGGUUUCAGCACCUCUUAAAUCAUCCCGGAGAGAGAGAGCGAGCCACUUAUUUCUGCACAACGGCCCUGCCGCCGACUCUGUCACAAGAAGAUGAACUACAAGUAAUAAAAUCAAGAUGAAGUUAUGUGUAAAUCUUUCCAGCUUACAAAGAUUAUAGAAAGUGGAAGAUGAAAGGGAUAUUCAAGACCAUCUACUUCUACCUCCUCGUUUCGCGGCUGUAACAGCCGAGGCCCAGGGAGGUGUGUGGACUAACUGACGGUCCCACAGCGGCUCCGAGGCAGGAGUUGCACCAGCAUUCUGCGACUGUUGCACGACAUCCUUGCUGUUCCCCAGUCCCAGGGCAUCUUUCACCUUUUGAAAACAGACAGAGAGAAAUCCAUCCUCCGGCAUCUUCACCUCCCUCUACGUUUAUCGUUUCCAGCUGCUAAAAACUGGCAUUUUAAAAAGUGGGUCAUCCUGCCGGUCACUGAGGGUCAGGGCUCUGGUGAGUGCUGAUUGAGAGGAGGGAGAACAGGCAGGUGGUUGGAAGCAAAACAGACAGCCUCCCGUCUGGCGCCUGGGGAUUCUGUCGCUCGAGUCCCUGGGUGUGUACCCUCAGGAAAUACUAACCCACAGAGUCAAUUGCCAACUCCAGUCAUCUGUACAUUUGCCCUCCGGGAAUGUAAAGCUGGAGGAAAUGCCAUUUCCUAAUCUCAUUGGCCUUGGAUGGAAAGAUGUUUUUGCCCAGUAGAAGCCUUCAAAGAGCGAAUGUGUAUUUAGGACCUGCAGUGCUCUCCAGGAUCCUUUAAGGGACCCGGCUGUCAAGAAAAACCCACAGAUGCUUCUGGCUUUGUCUUUGCCUCAGUUAAGACCUUUGGGUUGCAGGUCAUCAACUUGAGUUGGCUGAAGUGUGUGGAUAAAGCCGUGCGUCAUCAAGUCCGAGGACGGAUGGCUGACAGGCACCCGGGCAGGACCCCUCUCCAGCUUCGUCUCUGCUUCCUGUCUCUCGCUGUGCAAUCGACUUUCUUCUUCUUGGUGGGCAGCUAGACUGGGUGGGAGAUGAUCUGCUAUGAUUACCACGUUUACAUCGCCUCUCCUGCAGAGAUUAGCCAGGCGACUGGCCGUCCUCAGCCCAACACCGAAUUCCCAGGAGGGAGGAUGUGGUUGGCCCAGCCUGAGGCAGGUGCACAACCUGAUCCAAACAAGGUGGCCGCAGGUAGGGUGCCCCAAGACAGACUGAGGGGCGGUUCUCCCUGACAGGAGAAUGAAGUGCGGUGGGCAGACAUUUCCCAAGGGUGACUAUCCUAGGCUUUGAUCCAAUUAGCUAUUGGUAUAGAAAAGUGGUAGGUGCAGGUGGGAGUCUGGGAUAAAUCAGACACUCUAGAGACUUAAUUUGCCUAAAUUCUUGAGUGACAAAUUCUCUAUCAUGUAACUCUGUCUUUUUAGAGAGCUGUUUCCUUGCAGUUCAACCCCUGUCCUCUGGGCUCUAAGAAAGCCCAUUCAAUCAACCUGAGGAAUGUCUUCAUCUUUUAUGUGGUUAUCAUAUAUAUUUUCAUCCUGUUGAAGGGUGUUAGCUGGAUAGAUACUGAGAAUGAAAUAAAGGUGUAAUAUUACAUUUGUAUGGUUGAUAUAUGUGUAUGUGUAUGUAUAUGUAUGUGCGUAUGUAUAUAUUGAGUUGGACAAAAAGUUCAUUCGGGGUUUUCCGCACAAUGUUACAAAAGCCCCAAACGAACUUUCUGGCCAACCCAAUAUAUACAUACACGUACACAUACCUACAUUUUUAUUUAUUUUUUAUUAUUAUUUUUAAUAGUACUUUUUAAAAAUGCAUUUUUUUCUUUUUAAUUUAUUUAUUAUUUUUGGCUGCGUUUGGGUCUUCGUUGCUGCGCGCGGGCUUUCUCUAGUUGCAGCGAGCAGGGGCUACUCUUCGUUGCGGUGCGCGGGCUUCUCAUUGUCGUGGCUUCUCUUGUUGCGGAGCUCGGGCUCUAGGUGCGCGGGCUCAGUAGUUGUGGCACACGGGCUUAGUUGCUCUGCGGCAUGUGGGCUCUUCCCGGACCAGGGCUCUAACCCGUGUCCCCUGCAUCGGCAGGCAGAUUCUUAACCACUGCACCACCAGUGAAGUCCAUACCUACAUUUUAAAACAUCCAACCUACUUCCAGAAAGGAUUGGAGCAAAUUCUAAUAAAAACAGAAGAAAUAUGACGAAAAACCAUUAACAUUAAAAAGAUGUAAAAGUCAAGUAGCAAACAGGUUGCAGUUGAGCAGAGUGGCAGAGAUGGACAAACUCUGAUUCCUGCCCUGAACUGAUUACUCAACUUGGCUCUGAACUUUCUAAUAUUCAAGAGAAAGAAGAAAAUUUAUGAAUUGAGUGGCUAUUAUUAUUUACGCAUCUAGAAUAACAUCUAGAUGGAAACAUCUAGAAUAGUGGAAACAUCUAGAAUUGUGGAUCUCAAAAUAUAGUCCAGGGCCUCCUGGGGUCCUCAAAACCCUUUCAAGGCAGUUCCAUAGGUCAAAACUAUUUUCAUAAUAAUAUCAAGACACUGUUUGCCUCUUUUAGUCUCAUUCUUAUGAGUAUACAGUGGAGUUUUCUAGAGCAGAUGUCCCCAACCUUUUUGGCAUCAAGGACCGGUUUCGUGGAGGACAAUUUUUCCACGGACCGGUGGGGGGUGGAUGGUUUUGGGAUGAUUCAAGCACAUUACAUUUAUUGUGCACUUUAUUCCUAUUAUUAUUACCUUGUAAUAUAUAAUGAAAUAAUUAUACAACUCACCAUAAUGCUGACAGGGCGAGGAGCUCAGGCGGUAAUGCGACCAGUGGGGAGCCGCUGUAAAUACGGAUGAAGCUUCGCUCGCAGGCCGCUCACCUCCGCUGUGCAGCCUGGCCCAGGGUUUGGGGACCCCUGUUCUAAAGGCUACAUGUCAUGUAAUAUGCCCACAGAUUGAAUGCAAAAGCAGGUAUGAGAAUCCAGCUGUCUUAUACUAAGCUAGACAUUCAAAAGAUUUACAGAAAUUUAAAAUAAUAUCACUCUUCUCACUAAUUUAUUUUUGUUAUGUAAAAUGUAUUUUCACAAAACAUUCAUUAUGUUGAUCUAUUUUGAGUCAAUGCUAUUAUUUUAAAUGAAUUAAUAAAUUUUAAAUUUUUGUUUUAAUUUUUAAUAUGGUAAGUGUUGAUGGAUAUAUCCUAUAUAAGCAAAAACUCUGGGGUUCUCAAUAACUUUUAACAGUGUUAAAGGAGUCCUGAGACCAAAAUGUGCGAGAAUUGCUAUCGAAAAUCUUAUUAUUAUUUAUGUACCUGAGAUGGUGAUUUUUGCCCCCAAAAUUCCAUUUUAGAAGGCAUUGGGCAUGUCUCUAUUUGAUCCUUGGCAAAACUAAAAUCAUUUUAUGAAUAAAGUAUGAUUUUUGUAAACA